GUCAAAUAUUGUGAAAAUCAGUAUUGUUAAAAUGUGCAUACUACCCAAACAUUUUGACUAUUUGCCAAUAAAUUGGCAAAUUUAGAAGAAAUGGUCAAAUACCUAGACACAUGCAACUUACCAAGACAGAGCCAUGAAAGAAUCCAAAACCUGAACAGACCAAUAACAAGUAAGGAGAUUGAAGCCAUAAUAAAAAAUCUUUCAGUGGGUCUCAGUCUCUGCUGCCAGCUGGCGUACAGUGUUCUCUCAUCGCUCUGCUGCCCUACUCCUCCACCGGUCACAAUGGAAGAAGAAAUUGCUGCGCUCGUUAUAUACAAUGGUUCCAGCAUGUGCAAAGCUGGCUUUGCUGGGGACGACGCUCCCUGAGCCAUGUUUCCCUCCACUGUCAGGUGCCCUCAGCACCAGGACGUGAUGGUCGGCAUGGGCCAGAAGGACUCCUACGUGGGCAGUGAGGCCCACAGCAGGCACAGCAUCCUGACCCUGAGGUACCCUAUCGAGUACGGCAUCAUCACCAACUGAGACGACAUGGAGAAAAUCUGGCACCACACCUUCUACAAUAAGCUGUGUGUGGCCCUGGAGCAGCACCCCGUGCUGCUGGCCGAGGCCGCCCUGAACCCCAAGGCCAACAGAGAGAAGAUGACUCAGAUCAUGUUUGAGCCCUUCACACCCUGGCCAUGUAUGUGGCUAUCCAGGCCAUGCUGUCCCUCUAUGCCUCUGGGUGCACCACUGGCAUUGUCAUGGACUCUGGAGAUGGGGUCACCCACAGGGUGCCCAUCUUCAAGGGCUAUGCCCUUCCCCACGCUAUCCUGCAUCUGGACCUGGCUGCCCGGGACCUGACUGACUACCUCAUGAAGGUCCUCACUGAGUGUGGCUACAGCUUCAUCACCACAGCCAAGUGGGAGAUUGUGUGACAUCAAGGAGAAGCUGUGCUACAUUGCCCUGGACUUCAAGCAGGAGAUGCCAAAGCCGCAUCCUCCUCAUCUCUGGAGGAGAGCUAUGAGCUGUCCGAUGGCCAGGUCAUCACCAUUGGUAAUGAGCAGUUCCGGUGUCUGGAGGCACUGUUCCAGCCUUCCUUUCUCGGCAUGGAAUCUUGUGGCAUCCACGAGACCACCUUCGACUCCAUCAUGAAGUGUGACAUGUGCUGUCUGGUGGCACCACCAUGUACCCAGGCAUUGCCAACAUGAUGCAGAAGGAGAUCACUGCCCUGGCACCCAGUACCAUGAAGAUCAAGAUCAUUGCACCCCCAGAGCAUAAGUACUCCAUGUGGAUCAGUGGCUCCAUCCUGGCCUUACUGUCCACCUUCCAGCAGAUGUGGACUAGCAAGCAGGAGUACAAUGAGUCUGGCCCCUCCAUUGUUCACUGCAAAUGCUUCUAAAUGGACUGCGAGCAGAUGCAUAGCAUUUGCUGCAUGGGUUAAUUCGGAAGUAUAAAUUGGCCCCUGGAAAAUGCAUACACCUCAUGCUAGCCUCACAAAACUGGAAUAAGCCUUCGAAAAGAAAUUGCCCUUGAAGCUGGUAUCUGAUAUCAGCACUGGAUUGUAGAACUUGUUGCUGAUUUUGACCUUGUAUUCAAGUUAACUGUUCCUCUUGUUAUUUGUUUAAUACCCUGUACAUAUCUUUGAUUUCAACCUUUAGUACAUCUGGCUUGGUCACUUCAUGGCUGAGGUAAGAAUGUGCUUGUGGGAAGACAAGUCUGGCUUGGUGAGUCUGUGUGACCAGCAGUCUCCUAUCUGUGCAGGGUAUUACUGUGUCAGGGCUGAGUGUUCUGGCAUUACUCUAGAGGCUGGCGAGGGCUGCCAGUCUGUCAGGGUUGGAAAGUCCAAGCCAUAAGACCCAGUUUCCUUUCUUAGCUGAUAUUUUUCUGCCAGAGCACUGUGGGCUGUUACUUGCCUUGAGUUGGAAGCAGUUUGCAUUACACCUGUAAAUGUAUUCAUCCUUUUAAUUUAUGUAAGGUUUUUUUUGUACAUAACUCUCGAUUCUUUAAAGAUGUGACAACAAAUUUUGAUUUUCUACUGUUAUGUGAGAACAUUAGGCCCCAGCAACAUGUCAUUGUGUAAGGAAAAAUAAAAGUGCUGCCUUAA